UUAGCGGCGGACGGGUGAGUAACGCGUGGGAACAUACCCUUUGGUACGGAAUAGCCUCGGGAAACUGAGAGUAAUACCGUAUACGCCCUUUGGGGGAAAGAUUUAUCGGAGAAGGAUCGGCCCGCGUCUGAUUAGAUAGUUGGUGGGGUAAUGGCCUACCAAGUCUACGAUCAGUAGCUGGUUUUAGAGGAUGAUCAGCAACACUGGGACUGAGACACGGCCCAGACUCC
rnacentral:rRNA from 1 species